GCCCUUUUCAUUUUGGUCAAACGCCCUAUAUUGACCAGUGCCGGGUUCGCCCGGCUAUGGCGAUAAAUUGUUGCGUGCAAUAGGCGCAGCGGACCCGGGGGCGGUACCCGGCGGCUCCACCACUUUCCCUGAUCCUUCAGGGAAAAUGACGGGGCCGAACUAGGAUCGACGUGUGUUGAAAAGCGCAGUUUUCGCCCGGGCUGAGUAACCCGUAUAAGGCUCAAAACCUAUAAGUGCCAACGAUAAUGAAGCACUUGCUCUCGCAGCGUAAUCUGAUGGCCUAACGGCCUGAUCUUACAAAACGAAAGCACGGUUCGGACCGAACCGGGUAACAGAAUCGGAAACC
rnacentral:tmRNA from 1 species